AGUCUCAACGAUGGUCGGUCAGUUCCCACCAGGUUCUGUUCAUCAUCUGCUGCAUGAUGGUACAGGCACCAGGCCUGAGAUGUAAGAUAGUGGUGAACUGCACCAACCCCAACACCAUAUCCCUUCUGGCCGCCCUGGAGAACGUGAUGAAGUUGUACUCCAUACGACCUGUCAUGAACCUCUCAACCCCCACCAACAUCAGCAUGUACUUCACUCUCUACGGCAUCCUGGGUGUGG